UACGUAGGGUGCAAGCGUUAAUCGGAAUUACUGGGCGUAAAGCGUGCGCAGGCGGUUUUGUAAGAUAGAUGUGAAAUCCCCGGGCUCAACCUGGGAAUUGCAUAUAUGACUGCAAGACUUGAGUUUGUCAGAGGAGGGUGGAAUUCCAAGUGUAGCAGUGAAAUGCGUAGAUAUUUGGAAGAACACCGAUGGCGAAGGCAGCCCUCUAGGACAUGACUGACGCUCAUGCACGAAAGCGUGGGGAGCAAACAGG
rnacentral:rRNA from 1 species